AGAUUCUAAAUCAGCUGGUACUGUUUUAGUAUAAUACAUGGAAUGAUGGAGAGAAUGCAACAUCUAUAGAUUACUGUAUACAGAGCUGUGGAGAAGAUCCGGUUGCCCUGGGUGAUGUCGAUCUGCAUGACUCCAGCCCCAAGGUUUCUGAAUAUGGACUGUUUAGCGUGUUCAUUUUUAAAUGACUGAAGUAGGCCAUGGCCUGUCAACCUCCAAACCUAGUUUAAAGAAAAAGUGUAA